AUUGAACGCUGGCGGCAUGCCUUACACAUGCAAGUCGAACGGCAGCACGGGAGCUUGCUCCUGGUGGCGAGUGGCGAACGGGUGAGUAAUACAUCGGAACGUACCCUGAAGUGGGGGAUAACGUAGCGAAAGUUACGCUAAUACCGCAUAUUCUGUGAGCAGGAAAGAGGGGGAUCGCAAGACCUCUUGCUUUAGGAGCGGCCGAUGUCGGAUUAGCUAGUUGGUGAGGUAAAGGCUCACCAAGGCGACGAUCCGUAGCGGGUCUGAGAGGAUGAUCCGCCACGCUGGGACUGAGACACGGCCCAGACUCCUACGGGAGGCAGCAGUGGGGAAUAUUGGACAAUGGGCGCAAGCCUGAUCCAGCCAUGCCGCGUGAGUGAUGAAGGCCCUAGGGUUGUAAAGCUCUUUCGCCAGGGACGAUAAUGACGGUACCUGGAUAAGAAGCCCCGGCUAACUUCGUGCCAGCAGCCGCGGUAAU
rnacentral:rRNA from 1 species